rnacentral:piRNA from 1 species
UCUUGUCAAAAUUAGGAAUAU